rnacentral:tRNA from 1 species
CGGGGCGUAGCUCAGCCUGGUAGAGCGCCGCGUUUGGGACGCGGAUGUCGUCAGUUCGAAUCUGGCCGCCCCGCCCA